GAGGGUGUAGCUCAGUGGCAGAGCGCAUGCUUAGCAUGCACAAGGUCCUGGGUUCAAUCCCCACUACCUACC
rfam:Camelus ferus unplaced genomic scaffold scaffold1438, whole genome shotgun sequence.